GAAUAAAACCCAAUGUUGCGCUUCAGAACGCUGUGGGAGAUCAUGUUGAACUUCUUGUGAGGACCAGCAAAUUACAUUUGGAAAAGAUUCACAUUCACGACCAUGCUCUCAUCUGGCACGCUCCAAAGCAGCUGUACAAGGUUCAUCUGGGAGAUGGCCUCCUAACAUGGUUAUUCCAAUGUGACUUGAUGGGCUGCAGACAUUAGCCAUGUUCCCGUAUUGUUACGUGAGUGACAUCGGCAAAGAGAUACAAAUCACUAAAGGAAAAGAAGGACUGUACGCUGCCCUGGAAAACAGGAACGUCCAAGUCAGACUACCAGAGGCCUCAACGUGACUGAGGAGCACACAUAAAAGCCAAGUCUGACAUCUAGUGAGUGCUUUGUAAAGUGUAGUUUUGGACCAGCAAAUCCUAAAAUGAAUUUUACAGACAACAUAUACUAAAACAGUCAAAAUUGGAAAAUGCAGUACUGCACUACCAGAGUUGGAUGAGUUAACAAAAAAUGAUUGUUUCACAAAACAAUAUAUUAACGUAAAAUAAUGACAAACAUCUGCAGAAACAAAGGCAAUAGUGCAAAUUCAGUGCUGUUGAUACUGUUGAAUAAUAGAA